rnacentral:rRNA from 1 species
UACGAAGGGGGCAAGCGUUGUUCGGAAUUACUGGGCGUAAAGGGCGCGCAGGCGGCCGAUCAAGUCAGAUGUGAAAGCCCCGGGCUCAACCUGGGAAUGGCAUUUGAUACUCAAGGGCUCGAGUACGGGAGAGGAGAGUGGAAUUCCCAGUGUAGAGGUGAAAUUCGUAGAUAUUGGGAAGAACACCGGUGGCGAAGGCGGCUCUCUGGACCGUAACUGACGCUGAGGCGCGAAAGCGUGGGGAGCAAACAGG